rnacentral:lncRNA from 1 species
GGUUUGAGCAAUAAUAGAAAGGAGAUUUCAGAUCAAAACAGGGGUCUCACUCUGUAGGAAAUCUCACCAAUAGAAUGGAUCAGAGAGAAGAUAAACCAUCCAAACUUGAAGAAGAACAAUCCAAUGCAGACAACAAUAAAAUAUUUAGAAAACACCAGUGAGAAUUCCAAGACAUAAGUGAUACUUAGAAAUGACUAGAUAUGCUGAGCCAUCUCUCUAUGUUUUAUUAACUUUAAAUUUUUUAAAUGCCAAUGAGACAGGAAACAGCCAGGGAGAGUACAUUGGAUAAUGGAAAAACUGCUGAAUUAAAUCAGCCUGGAUACUUUAAAGAUGUGUUGACCUCAGAAUGGAAACCAAGAUAUGUGUUAUGUUAGGGAAGAGGUUUGGCUUUUGUUUCCACAGGAGGAGAAAAAUUAUGGAUACUAUCAAGAUUGAUAAAGAUUAGAUUCAAACAGGAGAGACCUCUUGGUUAGGAGAGGUGAUAUUCAUCAAAUAGCAAGGCCUUUCAACCUGCCAAAAAGAGAAACUCCACAAAGUUAAGGUUGGGGCAGAGUUUUGUUUUGGUUUUCCAGGAAAAAUAAAAGUAUCCA